rnacentral:rRNA from 1 species
AACGAACGCUGGCGGCAUGCCUAACACAUGCAAGUCGAACGGGACCUCCCGGUCUAGUUGCGCACGGGUGCGUAACGCGUGGGAACUUGCACUUAGGUUCGCAAUCCCUGCCUGAAAGGGGAGCUAAUACCGCAUAAUCUCAUCGGACCUAAGAUUUAUCGCCUUGGGAUGGGCCCGCGUUGGAUUAGCCAGUUGGUAGGGGAAAAGCAUACCAAGGCGUGGUUCCAUAGCUGGUCUGUGAGGAUGACCAGCAACGCUGGGGCUGAGGCACGGCCCAGACCGCUACGGAGGGGAGCAGUGGGUAAUACUAGACGAGGGGCGAAGACCUGGUCAAGCAAUGCCGGGUGAGUGAUGAAGGCCUUAGGGUUGUAAAGCUCUUUUACACGGGAUGAUAGUGACAGUACCGGGAGAAUAAGCACCGGCUAACUCCGUG